rnacentral:rRNA from 1 species
GUGGGGAAUUUUGGACAAUGGGCGCAAGCCUGAUCCAGCAAUGCCGCGUGCAGGAAGAAGGCCUUCGGGUUGUAAACUGCUUUUGUACGGAACGAAACGGUCCGGGUUAAUACCCUGGGCUAAUGACGGUACCGUAAGAAUAAGCACCGGCUAACUACGUGCCAGCAGCCGCGGUAAUACGUAGGGUGCAAGCGUUAAUCGGAAUUACUGGGCGUAAAGCGUGCGCAGGCGGUUUUGUAAGACAGGCGUGAAAUACCCGGGCUCAACCUGGGAAUUGCGCUUGUGACUGCACAGCUGGAGUGCGGCAGAGGGGGAUGGAAUUCCGCGUGUAGCAGUGAAAUGCGUAGAUAUGCGGAGGAACACCGAUGGCGAAGGCAAUCCCCUGGGCCUGCACUGACGCUCAUGCACGAAAGCGUGGGGAGCAAACAGGAUUAGAUACCCCGGUAGUCC